UGGAAAUGAUGAUUCCUCGCUGAGGUGAUGUGAUAAAAUUCACAUAUGAACUCCACAAAAGAUAGUCAAGUCCUGAUCCAG